rnacentral:misc_RNA from 1 species
GCCGUCGUUGUAUGGGUUAAACCUUCGAGGUCGAACAUUUCAAACUUUAGGGUGGAAUGAAACGAUUUGAUGAGGCAUUAUCAGCGG